rnacentral:rRNA from 1 species
AUUGAACGCUGGCGGCAUGCUUUACACAUGCAAGUCGAACGGUAACAGCACUUCGGUGGCUGACGAGUGGCGAACGGGUGAGUAAUACAUCGGAACGUGCCUAGUAGUGGGGGAUAACUACUCGAAAGAGUAGCUAAUACCGCAUGAGAUCUAAGGAUGAAAGCAGGGGACCUUCGGGCCUUGCGCUACUAGAGCGGCUGAUGGCAGAUUAGGUAGUUGGUGGGAUAAGAGCUUACCAAGCCGACGAUCUGUAGCUGGUCUGAGAGGACGACCAGCCACACUGGGACUGAGACACGGCCCAGACUCCUACGGGAGGCAGCAGUGGGGAAUUUUGGACAAUGGGCGCAAGCCUGAUCCAGCAAUGCCGCGUGCAGGAUGAAGGCCUUCGGGUUGUAAACUGCUUUUGUACGGAACGAAAAGCCCUCUUCUAAUACAGGAGGGUCAUGACGGUACCGUAAGAAUAAGCACCGGCUAACUACGUG